GCCUGGGUGGCUCAGUCGGUUGAGCGUCUGACUUCGGCUCAGGUCAUGAUCUCGCGGUUCUUGGGUUCGAGCCCUGCCUUGGGG
rnacentral:tRNA from 1 species